AGGACGAACGCUGGCGGCGUGCUUAACACAUGCAAGUCGAGCGGAAAGGCCCUUCGGGGUACUCGAGCGGCGAACGGGUGAGUAACACGUGAGUAACCUGCCCUAGGCUUUGGGAUAACCCUCGGAAACGGGGGCUAAUACUGGAUAUUCCCGCGGGAUCGCAUGGUUUUGUGGGGAAAGGUUUUCCGGCUUGGGAUGGGCUCGCGGCCUAUCAGCUUGUUGGUGGGGUGAUGGCCUACCAAGGCGACGACGGGUA
rnacentral:rRNA from 1 species